AAGGCAUCAGCCUGUGCUGCUGGAGACCAGCCUUGACCACAGAAGUGCAGUACUCCAAGUUCUUAUAAUCAAACACAGUUGGGUGCAGCCACUCCUCCAUGCAGGCACCACUGUCUAAUACACACACAGUUAUCCACAAUCAUCUUGCAGAAAAACUGUGAACGUUAGAGGCAGAAGGAUCCAGCACACUCCUUUUGACUUAUGGAGGCAUCUUUGGAUUUUCUGGGCCUGAGACACUAAAUAUCAGAAAGAAAAACCUGUGGUAGAUCAAAGACCAGAGAAAUCCAGCUCUACAGAUAGACUUCAAAGCAGAAUUUUCUAUUGCUAAGUCUGACAUCUGGAGUGCUGUAUAUAGCCAGAAGAGAACUCAGAGGAUUAUGGAUUUUUGACAUGAAAGAUCUGGGUUAUUAAAAAUCAGGAAGGCUGCUAAAAAGGGUGUCACAUUCACCACCACUUUCAUCACCAAGACCAUGAGCAGAAGGAAAACAGGAUAUAAUGCAGAAUGACACUAAUUGUGAACUGAUCUUGCUGAGAAAAGGUAAAUGACUUCUCAGGGGCCUUCCCUUUGGUUUUUUUGGUUUUUUGGUGGGGUUUUUUUGUUUUGUUUUGUUUUGUUUUGUUUUUUUCUUUUGAAUGUUUUUUAAGGCUGUUUUAGACAAAAAACUGCCAGAGUGAUUUUACUAAAAUGAUAAGAGAUAUGAAAUGUUUAAAACAGAACUAUGGAAUUAUUAAGGUUGAGAAAGACUCCUCAAAUCCAACCAUUAAAUCAGCACUGCCAUGCAUCAGGACACAUCCCUGUGAUUCAGUGCAGCCAGUUUUAGUUGUGUUCACUCUGACCUUAAGUUAAAUAGCUUCCAGACCUGAGCUGGCUCUCACUCCCCAGUUAGGAGGACAGAUGGAACUCAUACUUUUGCUGCUCUUGGUGGACACAACUUCCAAUCAAAAUGAUACUGUAGAUGUUAAAAACAUGAAGUAAACUGUGUUCAUCAGGACAUGUAGGAAUAGCAAAUAGACACUAUCCCAAAAGGAUGUAAACUACGGAGAGGCACUAAUACUGUACACCUGUACUCAAGUUUGGUGGGAUCCUCUUACAUAAGGGAACAAGACAAGAUUUCAAACAACUCCUGCUAAUUUUGUUUUCAUUGCUUUCCUGACAUGUCCCUUUUGUUCUUCUAAGCCCCCACUUUCUGAAGAAAAUGAAAACCCCAGCACAGUUUCACUGCUGUCUGUUGGCUUUCCAGGAGACCUUCUUGUCUCCUUAUACAGAUGAGUCCGUCAAGGAGCAAAGGUGCCACUACAUGGUUGUAAUGACUGACAGAGUCACUUCACUAAUGAACCUCAAACACUCAGGUACGUUCAGCUAAACCUUCAAUGUUCAGCUGAUGAGAAACUGGCCAGCUGAACUGUGUUCUCAACCAAGCAUCCGUAGGGCACUAUUUGAGUGACAGAUCAGUUCAUACACAUAUCACAUCAUCUCCCUGUGGCCUACCCACAGUCAGAAGAAGGGGCUAUUUUCAACCAAUAGUCUGCAGUAAAUAAAUGCUCUACUGUAGAAGCUUUUCUUCUCCAUCCAUUUUUCUCCUAGUUUCUACUAAGCACUUCUGGGCACACUGUUUUCCCAGAGAACUCUGUUGAUUGCCAUAGGCUGCUGUUGAGGAAUAAAGUUCAGUCACAGUCUCCAGUGUAAUGUCAAAAGGGAAAACAUUAAUUAAAAGCAGAGGCAAUCUAAUACUUAUGCCCUGUGAACAGACCCCAGGCAGCACAGAGCUGAUUCUUCUGUUUCAUUUCUCCAUCUUUGGCAUUUGUGCUGAGUCAGAUAGAUGAAACUAUGCCUAGAGCAAUGCUCUUUAACUGCUUUUUUUUUUUUUUUUAUGUGCUGAACACCUGUCCCCUACUCUCCCAGUGCAUUUAAAAGUGUAGAAGUCUCAUAAUAUCAUUUCUGUGUCUUUUUCUGAAAAGAAAAUGGAUUGAAAUCUCUAUUGAUAUUUAAAAACUGCUGUUUGGUGUGAGAUGAUAAUUGGCUAAAGAGAGAUGCCAUUAAAUUAGUGCAUUUCAGUGUGGUUCUGCUUGUGUUUUUAACAGCUUUCAGGCAUUAAACCAGCAGGAUGUGUUCUGACACAAUAGAGUGAUGCUCAUCAUCCACAUAACAAAUGAACAACAGAUUAUAUUCCAAAGAGGAAUGCAAGAAACAGAGUCAUGAGCAUCUUAGGAACAAUUUGUUAAUUGGGAAAGUCUCUCCUAAAUGGAAUGUUUUAGUUGUUAGGUUAUGUCCCGUGGUAUCAAUGCUUGUAUCUCCUCAACAGACAAAUUAAUACAAUUGCAAAAGGGUAUGGACUCAAGUACAGCUUAAAUGAAGUCCCAAACAGUUCUUUGCCUCUAUUAUUUUUUUCCAGCAAUGAGUUCUUCACUGAAGACAUCAAAUUGUUGCAUUGUUUUCAGCUUUACUGCCCGGUUCUCUUGUCUAAAACUAGAGGGUUUACCUGAUCUAAUUUUUAUAUGCCAUUAGUCAUCACAUAUUCUUUGUUACCUUUCUUUCUGUUAAAUAUAUAAUUUUUUUUCUCCUCCUCCAAAAGCUUUUUGGUUUUUUUUUUUUUUUUUUGAGCUGUUGGCACCCGUGUCCCCAGUUCUGAAGCACUUUUUCUAAAGAAUUUUCUUGACAUAAGGGUCAUGACAGUGAACAGAACAGUGAACUUUCUGUGAUGCCUGGAUGAUCUUCCAGAAUUACCACUGUUUAUUUAAAAGUCAACAACGUAUCCAGGUAGGUCAAAUGCUUUGUCCCAAUUUGUGUUACCUUGCAUUUUAUGCUCUCAGUUCACCCAGCUUUAUUGCAUGUCACUGGAGUGCCAUACAGCCUCUAGUCCUAAUUAUUCUGUGCAACUCUAUGGCAUCUGCAGGUUUUUGCCACCUUGCAAAUAAUUUUUAGAUCUCUCAUGGAUAAUAUGAGCUAACCUGCCUUACUGUGGGGCUUUGUGCAGUCACUGACAACUUUUGACACAUUUAAAUUUGACCAUUAUUUCUCCUCUUUAAUUUCUGUCUUGCAGUCAGUUUCUACCCAAUGAUGUGACUUUAGCUUUGGUUUUGUGCUUUCCACUGUACCUGUAAGCCAUGCAGAGGUAUUAAUUCCUUGAGUGCCUCCCUGUCUGGCAGCUAAUUUUCUCUUGUCAUAUUAGCUGUGGAUACCAGGCCACCUGCAGCUGUUCCUGCAAGGAACCUUGGCCUCUUUCCCAAGGCAUAUCCUUUUUCCACUCCACCAAAUUCCUAGUUUCCUCUAGAAAGACCAAGAGCUACAGUCAUAAACAAUACCAAAAGGCUGCCCUUCCCAGUAAGGGAGGAAAAUUCCACUCCAAAGUAACCCAAAAUCAACUGAACAAAGCAGUAUUAUCUGAGACAGUCCCAUCACUUAAGGGAAUGCAGUAACAUUGCAGUAAUAUUGCCACACAAAUUGAGAUGUCUCACAGGUCCCAAGUCUCUAAAUAAGGGCCAUCCAUAAUUCAGUGCUGGCUGGUCUCACAGUAGUGGUCAUUAUAAUGAAGCAGUCUGGGUAAAAACAGAAUCAUAGGAAGAUGUAGCAACUUGAUAAAUAUUAACAAGUCAGUAUCAUACAGGGUGUAAAUCACCUUAAACUCCUCUAUGAUCUCUAAAACACUGCCUGUGCCUGCCCUUGGAUGGAGUUCCACAGGCCUGAAAGUUUGCUGCUAAUUCAGGCUGGCAAGGGUGAUGGAAAGCACUCACCAGAGGGUAGAGUCUGAUUCUGGAGCUGCAGUUAUUGCUUAGCAUAUACUUAAUUAAUACUCAGUGUUCCUUGAAUGAGAAUGAGUUUUUAACACUUACUGCUCCCACUGCUCCCAAGCACUCCAAAUCAAA